AUUAUUAUAUGCAUAAUAUCUUGGCUCAUGGAGCAAUCUUUAAGCAUGCAACUUUGAAAUAAGAAUUAAAUAUUGAGUUUUGGAUUUAUUGAAAAGGGUGAAUAGUCAAGAAAUAUAGCAUAUAAUAAUUUGGGCGUGGCUCAAUUAUAUAAGUUGUGAUUUGACGCCUAAUGUAGCUGCCUGAAUAAGCCUACAAGGAUGGUAAUGGGCCAGUUCAGGACGAAUCAUCCUCAUUUCAUCUUGUUGUCGUUUAUUUAUACCUAUUUUUUAUCUUCAUAAAAAUAAAUAAAUAAACAGAGCAAAAUGGGUAUAAAAAAUUAUCAUAUCCG
rnacentral:lncRNA from 1 species